rfam:Nematostella vectensis strain CH2 x CH6 NEMVEscaffold_1137_Cont35116, whole genome shotgun sequence.
CCUUCGAUAGCUCAGUUGGUAGAGCGGGGGACUGUAGAUUUAUAAUUGUGAUCCCUAGGUCGCUGGUGCGAAUCCGGCUCGAAGGA